GGAACGAACGCUGGCGGCAUGCCUAAUACAUGCAAGUCGAACGAACACUUCGGUGUUAGUGGCGCACGGGUGCGUAACGCGUGGGAAUCUGCCCUUGGGUUCGGAAUAACAGUUGGAAACGACUGCUAAUACCGGAUGAUAUCGAAAGAUCAAAGAUUUAUCGCCCAGGGAUGAGCCCGCGUAGGAUUAGCUAGUUGGUGAGGUAAAGGCUCACCAAGGCGACGAUCCUUAGCUGGUCUGAGAGGAUGAUCAGCCACACUGGGACUGAGACACGGCCCAGACUCCUACGGGAGGCAGCAGUAGGGAAUAUUGGACAAUGGGCGCAAGCCUGAUCCAGCAAUGCCGCGUGAGUGA
rnacentral:rRNA from 1 species